CGGUACUCGCGACCCUGGCGACCCGGCCACCGCCCGCACAUGCGCACUGCGCGCUACCCACCACACAAAUCACAAAAUGACGCCGCCGGACAACGCUACGUAAUAACACGCUCAAAAUAUUCCAGACAAACCCACAAAAGUGAAAAUUAUAAAUCCAUUUAACACAAUCUUCGGAUAUUGUUUAACUAAAUCGUGCAGUACGCGAAUAGACACGCACGCACGCGCGCUUCUGUGUCAAAACAAACCAGUGCUUUUGCGAUGUAAACAUGAACGAACGUAAGAUCUUGCUUUUUAUAUUAGCCGUGAUCGUUUAUAGCAUCUACAGUGUUCAAAUGUGGUUUACGAAACGAAAUGUUGAAGCGAACGUUGUACUGCCCGAGAAGAUUGCUGAGCCUACGAUCACUUCAGAAGAACGUCAAAAAACUCCAGAAAUCCAGCCGCUCGCGUUAAAACCUGUUGUGAAACCAAAAGUCAUUCCACUAUUUAUAAAAGACGGGUGUAGCAUUUUACAAGUGUUCACUGAAAAACCGAUCGUGACGAAACGCAAACAUAAACAUCAUGGCUUGAGCACUGAUAACAACACCGUCACAGUUAUUGGCAUCACCGUAUUCCUCUUAGUGCUGUUGCUCAACGCUAUACUAGAUGUACUCAAAGUAAAGGAAGAAGAACGAGCAAGAAGGAAGCUCAACCCUGACGGAGAAAGAAGGCAGUCGUUAGCAGAAUUUGCUAAUAAAAAAACACUGCGAAGAGAAUCAAGCAAGUUUGGGCUGCAGCUUUUUCAAAUUGCCGAAUCUAUUGUGAAUACGGAAGAAGAAGAGAAGAAGAAUAACAGUCGCCAAACUAGGCCAUAUAAAAGGGGAGAUUCUACUAAUUCGUACCUAAGUGAGACACACAGGAAAUCUCAGGAGGGUUCAGCCCCGGCGUCUAUCGCCGAGACCCCGGCAGGAGACCCGAGACUCGUCAAAAGGCAAUCCGUAGCCAAGCUCUUUGGUCUGUCUGACGACUGAAAAUGACUUGCAGAUAAAUCUAUUUCUCUGUAGGAUACACGAAUGGUAAAGAGCUAAAGCACUUCACGGUCCAAUAAAUCCUUUACACCAUUGCAUGAGCUCGUCCAGUGCCGAUGGUGCGUCGUUCCUCAUUCCCUGCUCUGCCUCUCAACCCUGAGGUACAAGCGCUGAUGCUGGGUCAUCGACAGACUUCAUUCGACAGUGAUGACGAGGGAGACGGC
rnacentral:misc_RNA from 1 species